AACAACAAAGUAGUCGCCUAGAUUAUGAUGGGCGCUUGGGUUUGUAUGUUGCUGACCCAACGCGUGGACUUCCAUGUAACAUCUGACCACUUCAUAUUAUCAGUCAUAACACUAUCUCAAAGUUCCCAUCUCUCUGAACACCUCCAUGAAAUCUUUGCUUCCUCUAGCUGCUAUUGUUUGUCUACGCUGGUUUUCAUCCUGUGCUUAGAGGUCUACAGUAUUUCAGUAUGACAGAUAUGUCACUUUCUAUCUCUAUCUGUUCAUCUUCUUUGUUUUUCUUUGUCUGCCUUCUGAUUUGUAUCUUUCAGAGAAGAAUGAAAUAGGUAAUUUCAAAGGUCAGAAUUGAAUUUGCUCUACUUUUGUCUCUCUUCGCUCAGAAUUCCAUAACCUUUUUCUUCGCUGUAAGAAAGAAUUGGAGUUUGACUUGGAUUUUUGUACUUCGUUAGUUGCUAAAUUGUAAAUCACAUGGUUCACGGUCACCGCUGAUCUUCGCUAAGAAUUCCUUGGGUUUCUGCUUCUUCAUUGUAACACAAAAUUGGGGUUUUGCUUGGGUUUUUGCAGUUCAGUGGUUGCUCAAUUGACAUACUUUUUUCAUUAUAUGUAAAUGUGAUUGUUUUAUUUUUGGGUUCUUGUCUAUUUGUUGCUCGAAAUUAAAUUGUAAUUUUAUGUUAAUUUUGUGAAAUUCAAAAAUACCUUGAAAGAAAUUGGAAUUUCCUUCUACUAUCUAACUAUUCUCCAUGUUUGUUUAUGUUUGAAGGUUUUUUGUAUUUUGACCAAGAGUUAUAAAUUGGGGAUUUAGAGUGGAUGAAGGUUACUUUGUUGGAUUUAAGCUACAAUUUUAGUCUGCUACUGAUGUAUUUUAUUUUGCUGAUUUAUUCCAUUUUGUUAUUCUGAGUUUACAUGAAAAAAGUGAGCUGGUUCUUAAUUGUUUGAAAGAUUUGUACAUGACUUCUUACUUUCGAGCUCAGUGAUUAGUAGCUUAUAUAUACAAAUUCGAUAGAACUUGUUUGGUGUUUUUGGAUUUGUAUGGUGCAUUAAAUGCAUACUUGUAACUUUUAAUAUUCUUUCGUAACGAUUCAAUAUUCUCUCCCCUACCCACUGUUUUUCUGCAAAGGUCGGCCUUAUAUUUUGCCUUGUAGCUACAACAAAAAAGUUAGCAGCGACAGUAUUUAUGAUUUCAUGAUUAUUGUGUAUAUUACUUUCUUUUACCUAUUAUCUGAUUCCUAUACUAAUACAAUACUUAACAUAUACUUCAUAGGCCUUUUUUACGCACUACCAGAUAUAGGAACUAGGUAUAUCUGUGCAAGCCUUUGUAUUGUAAUGUUAAAUUCAACUUCUCAACUACCCUACUUUGCAGUAUUUUUCCUUGUAAAUAUUGUGCUCUUUACACUGAGAAACUGUAUUUAUCGAAAUGAAACAUGCUCUAAUCCAAAGUGUUGGAUUCUUUGUUUGUUUGAUUUUGUUUCCCGUACUAAUCCCAGAGAAAGGGCUUCCGAAGAUGGGGCAGAACAAGCUGCUUUUUUGUGCUUCCAUAUCUUUCUCUGCUGAAGAAUUGUGGUGUCUCACUAUGGCAGAAGGAAAAGUAGACAAAGAUUCAACUGGAGAAGUUUUGGACAAGGUUCAACUUCGAGAUGAUUUAACUGGAAAAGUUAUCAAAGAUAUAUAAUGACCAUGACCGAACUGCUGCAAUUAAGUUACUUUUAGUAGGGUGAUUUUCCUGAUUUAAUAGGGGUUCCUUUAUUUGGAUUCUGUCAGUUGUAUUUCUCUAAGUUCUUUGUGGCAUGACCAAAAGGUACUAUUUCUUCAUAUGAUUUAUGAAGUUACUUCUUGUAUAUCUUGUUUGUGGUUGUUUUUAUGCAGUAUUUUGAUUUUCAAUGAUAAAAGGUAUGUGCUGCUUAUGCUGUUUUCAAAGUGUAGUCUACACCUGGAGCUCCAUAAUCCAACAUAUUAUGCUAGAACUUUCUGUAUGUUGGAGUUCCAACAUAAUAUGCUGGAAGAACUUUCUGUGUUUCAACAAAACAAUGGUUAUUUUUCAAUGAGGGUUUGCAAACACUGGCUAUUUUUUGAACCUGUCCGAAAACUGACUAGUUAGUGCGAUUUUCAAUUUUGGAGUCGUAACCGAGGAAGUACACAAAUGGCCAUUCUUAGGGCUACUAUUUAGGGAUUCAUCAGUACUUAUUUUAUCCUGAAAAUUUGAACUAAAAAUAAUAAUGUAGGCAUGUAAAAUUUAUUGAAUUUAAAUUCAAUAAAUAAUUUAGACUA